rnacentral:rRNA from 1 species
AGCGAACGCUGGCGGCAGGCUUAACACAUGCAAGUCGAACGGGCACUUCGGUGCUAGUGGCAGACGGGUGAGUAACACGUGGGAACGUACCUUUCGGUUCGGAAUAAUUCAGGGAAACUUGGACUAAUGCCGGAUACGCCCUUCGGGGGAAAGAUUCAUCGCCGAUAGAUCGGCCCGCGUCUGAUUAGCUAGUUGGUGAGGUAAUGGCUCACCAAGGCGACGAUCAGUAGCUGGUCUGAGAGGAUGAUCAGCCACAUUGGGACUGAGACACGGCCCAAACUCCUACGGGAGGCAGCAGUGGGGAAUAUUGGACAAUGGGCGCAAGCCUGAUCCAGCCAUGCCGCGUGAGUGAUGAAGGCCUUAGGGUUGUAAAGCUCUUUUGUCCGGGAAGAUAAUGACUGUACCGGAAGAAUAAGCCCCGGCUAACUUCGUGCCAGCCGCCGCUGUAAUAC